rnacentral:rRNA from 1 species
GAUGAACGCUAGCGGCAGGCUUAAUACAUGCAAGUCGAGGGGCAGCGCGGGGUAGCAAUACUCUGGCGGCGACCGGCAAACGGGUGCGGGACACGUACACAACCUUCCUUUAAGUGGGGGAUAGCCCAGAGAAAUUUGGAUUAAUACCCCGUAAUAUAGUUGAAUGGCAUCAUUUGAUUAUUAUAGCUACGGCGCUUAAUGAUGGGUGUGCGGCUGAUUAGAUAGUUGGCGGAGUAACGGCCCACCAAGUCUACGAUCAGUAGCUGAUGUGAGAGCAUGAUCAGCCACACGGGCACUGAGACACGGGCCCGACUCCUACGGGAGGCAGCAGUAAGGAAUAUUGGUCAAUGGACGCAAGUCUGAACCAGCCAUGCCGCGUGAAGGAUUAAGGUCCUCUGGAUUGUAAACUUCUUUUAUUUGGGACGAAAAAGGGCCUUUCUAGGUCAACUGACGGUACCAGAUGAAUAAGCACCGGCUAACUCCGUGCCAGCAGCCGCAGUAACAC